rnacentral:rRNA from 1 species
CGCCUCCCGUCAAUAAUGAGAGGUCCAACCUGCCCAGUGAAAACUUCAACGGCCGCGGUAUCUUGACCGUGCUAAGGUAGCGCAAUCACUUGCCCUUUAAUUGGGGGCUAGUAUGAAUGGUCAAACGAGGGUGAAGCUGUCUCAUCAAUAAGAAAGGAAAUUAACCUAUACGUGAAGAGACGUAUAUCCCAUAGAAAGACGAGAAGACCCUGUCAAGCUCCGCAGCAAUUAUAACAAAAACAAAACCGUUUAACACGCUGCUUUGUUGGGGCAACACGGGAACAAAAUCUUCCCCCGAACCCAAGCUCUUAAACCAACCAAUCCGGCAACACCGAACUAAGACAAAGCUACUGCAGGGAUAACAGGCUAAUCUGUCUCGAGAGCCCAUAUUGACAGACAGGAUUGGCACCUCGAUGUUGGCUUAGGGACCCUCGUUGGGGCAGCACCCAAUGACAGGAGGUUUGUUCAACCUAUAAUCCCCUA